UGCGGGAUGGAGCAGUUGGUAGCUCGCCAGGCCCAUAACCUGGAGGUCGUGAGGUUCGAGUCCCACUCCCGCUACAA
rnacentral:tRNA from 1 species